AUGUGGUCUAGUGGUUAGGAUUCGUGGUUUUCACCCACGCGGCCCGGGUCCGAUUCCCGGCAU
rfam:Strongyloides papillosus strain LIN genome assembly, scaffold: SPAL_contig0001252